AUUGAACGCUGGCGGCAGGCCUAACACAUGCAAGUCGAACGAGUGGCGGACGGGUGAGUAAUGUCUGGGAAACUGCCUGAUUGAGGGGGAUAACUACUGGAAACGGUAGCUAAUACCGCAUACCAUCGGAUGUGCCCAGAUGGGAUUAGCUGGUAGGUGGGGUAACGGCUCACCUAGGCGACGAUCCCUAGCUGGUCUUAGCGUAUGACCAGCCACACUGGAACUGAGACACUGUCCAGACUCCUACGGGAGGCAGCAGUGGGGAAGAUUGCACAAUGGGCGCAAGCCUGAUGCAGCCCUGCCGCGUGUAUGAAGAAGGCCUUCGGGUUGUAAAGUACUUUCAGCGGGGAGGCGUUACCCGCAGAAGAAGCACCGGCUAACUCCGUGUCAGCCGCCGCAGUAAUUC
rnacentral:rRNA from 1 species